AAAUUGAAGAGUUUGAUCAUGGCUCAGAUUGAACGCUGGCGGCAGGCCUAACACAUGCAAGUCGAACGGUAACAGGAAGCAGCUUGCUGCUUCGCUGACGAGUGGCGGACGGGUGAGUAAUGUCUGGGAAACUGCCUGAUGGAGGGGGAUAACUACUGGAAACGGUGGCUAAUACCGCAUAACGUCGCAAGACCAAAGAGGGGGACCUUCGGGCCUCUUGCCAUCAGAUGUGCCCAGAUGGGAUUAGCUGGUUGGUGAGGUAACGGCUCACCAAGGCGACGAUCCCUAGCUGGUCUGAGAGGAUGACCAGCCACACUGGAACUGAGACACGGUCCAGACUCCUACGGGAGGCAGCAGUGGGGAAUAUUGCACAAUGGGCGCAAGCCUGAUGCAGCCAUGCCGCGUGUAUGAAGAAGGCCUUCGGGUUGUAAAGUACUUUCAGCGGGGAGGAAGGUGUUGUGGUUAAUAACUGCAGCAAUUGACGUUACCCGCAGAAGAAGCACCGGCUAACUCCGUGCCAGCAGCCGCGGUAAUACGGAGGGUGCAAGCGUUAAUCGGAAUUACUGGGCGUAAAGCGCACGCAGGCGGUC
rnacentral:rRNA from 1 species